GUACCGGUUUCUUUUAUGCGGUAUCGUAGGUAUGUUAUGAAAUCGGUUUUAAUUAAAUCAUAUUAUACCGGUUUAAAACCGGUUUUAAAGAACUUUUCAAGAUUAAAAAAAAUAAAAAUAGAAAAUCAAACUUUGAAACACACAUUCAGCACCAACAGCCGCCCACUAUGUUCUUCUCGAAGUUUCAGUCGAGCUCCCCCUUUCAGUCGACCUCUCCGGCGCCGCCCCACCCCGACCGACGCCACAUGUCCCCUGCGCCGCCUCCAUAUCUCACCCCCGCUAUCUCAACGGCCGACGCAACCACAAAAUAUCAUCUCUGUCGCCUGCCCCCAAAUCUAAAACCCUACUUGAAAUUCAUCUCAUCUGCCGCACAACUGAUGUUCUCCGCCUCCAUCUCCCCGCGCCACCAUAUCUAGCCGACGCUACACGUCCUGGCCUCGCCUCCAUCCCUCACUAAAUCGUCAAUUCCUCAUCACUGAAGUCAGAUUUUAUGAGUUUCACCGGCGUAUUUGGCCUCCUGCCGUGAACUUUCAGGGAAUAAUUUGGCGUCUCAUUCACUGAAGGAAAACCUAGGGGCAGAUUUCUUCUAGGACGCUCUACUCUGCCUUCACACCCUCCUCUCUCUCUUCCGCAUUCUUUCUCAGAUGGAUAUUUUGCAUCAAAAGGUCUUCCCCUGACUUCCAGAGUUCGAUUUUCGAAACAAAAAAAGUUAAGGGUAAAAAGGUUUCUGAAGAUCUUGCCUGGUGCCAGAAAGCCAUUCUGAUGUGAAUCCUUCUGAACUCUUAAGAGGAACUACGAUGAGGCCUGAGAAAGGGAAGAGGGUUUUCUUUUAGAAAAGAAAGCCCAACCUUUGGGAGAAGAAAAUGAAAUUGAUACUAGAGAUGAUAUAUGAAUGUGCAUAGACCUGUGGGUACUAGGGUUGUAUUUGGUGAUAAAUGCAAUACCUUACCACCUCUUGCUCCAAUACUGGAUCAAAUUCAUCAAUCUGGGCCAAAAAAGAUGAGUACAUCCUUCCAAAGAUUGCAGAAAGAAACUUGAGGCAAUUUGCUAACCUUCGUUCGACUUCAUCGGAAUUAGAACUCCGUUUGCCAAUUAAUGAGAUGUCAGUGAAAUGUCCUGUAUCAACGAAAAAUCCAGGGAAGGGACUAUUUUAAGGUUUCAUGGGAAGACAUGGACGGAGUCGAGGCAUCGAUUGUACCGGCUGAUCUUGUGGAGAGAGCUUGCCCCGAAAAGAUAGUGGAAUUCGAGCAACUAAAAGCUCAGAAGAAGAAGCCCAGUCGUAAAGCAAGACAAAAGAAACAAGGCAUCUGAGGAGAUUGAUAGAAAGCUGCAACAACUAGUAGACGAGAUCGAGAAAGAGAGCAAUCAGGAGAAGAUAAUAGACACCGUUGAAAAUGAUAGGAAGCUGUAGGAACUAAUUAUUUGUUGUUUAUUAUUUUUGUUAUAAAUUUUAUUUUAUUUUAUUAAAAGCCCUUUUUAUAGGGGCUACAAAAUAAUUUUUUUUCCC